UGACGGGAGGGGCUAGCGUUGUUCGGAAUUACUAGGCGUAAAGCGCACGUAGGCGGCUUUGUAAGUUAGAGGUGAAAGCCCGGGGCUCAACUCCGGAAUUGCCUUUAAGACUGCAUCGCUAGAAUUGUGGAGAGGUAAGUGGAAUUCCGAGUGUAGAGGUGAAAUUCGUAGAUAUUCGGAAGAACACCAGUGGCGAAGGCGACUUACUGGACACAUAUUGACGCUGAGGUGCGAAAGCGUGGGGAGCAAACAGG
rnacentral:rRNA from 1 species